CGGGCCGCUCCAGCAGUGAGGAAUAUUGCACAAUGGGGGGAACCCUGAUGCAGCAACGCCGCGUGGAGGAUGACGCAUUUCGGUGUGUAAACUCCUUUUAUAUGUCAAGAAAAUGACGGUAGCAUAUGAAUAAGCACCGGCUAACUCCGUGCCAGCAGCCGCGGUAAUACGGAGGGUGCAAGCGUUACUCGGAAUCACUGGGCGUAAAGGACGCGUAGGCGGGUUGGAAAGUCAGGUGUGAAAUCCUACAGCUUAACUGUAGAACUGCACUUGAAACUUCUAAUCUAGAGUAUGGGAGGGGGAGAUGGAAUUAGUGGUGUAGGGGUAAAAUCCGUAGAUAUCACUAGGAAUACCUAAAGCGAAGGCGAUCUCCUGGAACAUUACUGACGCUAAGGCGUGAAAGCGUGGGGAGCAAACAGGAUUAGAUACCCCCGUAGUC
rnacentral:rRNA from 1 species